rnacentral:rRNA from 1 species
UGGGGAAUUUUGGACAAUGGGGGAAACCCUGAUCCAGCCAUCCCGCGUGUGCGAUGAAGGCCUUCGGGUUGUAAAGCACUUUUGGCAGGAAAGAAACGUCAUGGGUUAAUACCCCGUGAUACUGACGGUACCUGCAGAAUAAGCACCGGCUAACUACGUGCCAGCAGCCGCGGUAAUACGUAGGGUGCAAGCGUUAAUCGGAAUUACUGGGCGUAAAGCGUGCGCCGGCGGUUCGGAAAGAAAGAUGUGAAAUCCCAGAGCUCAACUUUGGAACUGCAUUUUUAACUACCGCGCUAGAGUGUGUCAGAGGGAGGUGGAAUUCCGCGUGUAGCAGUGAAAUGCGUAGAUAUGCGGAGGAACACCGAUGGCGAAGGCAGCCUCCUGGGAUAACACUGACGCUAAUGCACGAAAGCGUGGGGAGCAAACAGG